rnacentral:lncRNA from 1 species
AACAAUGGUAGAGAGGAUCAUAGAAGUGCACCAAUACACUCAAGAGUCCUUCAACUACAUAAGUUGAAAAAAUGGAUAGAAGCUUCCCAUGACGUUGUUUGAAGUCCAAGGGAUCUAAUACGAAAUAUGCUAGCUUCCUUAACUCUUUCAAGUCUGGACAUCCGAAACUGUACUUCUUAGUGUUCAUUCGUCCACAAACCAUGGUCUGAAAAU